rnacentral:misc_RNA from 1 species
AGGUGGGGCUGAUGACUGGGGUGAAGUCGUAACAAGGUAUCCGUACCGGAAGGUGCGGAUGGAUCACCUCCUAACAGGGAGACAACACAAUGAUUUUGAUGCCUGAGUGCUUUUAUUCUUAGGCCGAAAUCCUGUCACCUUAGGUCGAUCGGUACCUCAGCUUUGAAGUCAAGGAUCAGCAGCAAUGUUGAUUGCUUGAUGGAGAUUUUCAGUUCCUAAACUUUGUCUAGGUCACACCCCAAAAGGGAUGAGACUCCUGGGCCAUUAGCUCAGGUGGUUAGAGCGCACCCCUGAUAAGGGUGAGGUCCCUGGUUCAAGUCCAGGAUGGCCCAUUCGGUGUUGGGGGUUUAGCUCAGUUGGUAGAGCGCCUGCUUUGCAAGCAGGAUGUCAGGAGUUCGAGUCUCCUAACCUCCACUGACCGAACUUGAUUCCCAUCUCCAAUUUUUUGGAGUUGAGCUCGAUUGGAGUGUGAUUUAGAUGUGUCCGCUGGAUGACCCCAGCUUCCUGUCAUUCCAAGUUUUAGAUUUUAAGUCUUGAAUUUGGUUGAUAAGAUGCUGGGCUCAGAUCAAAUGAUCAAGCAAUUGAUGAUUUGAUUUGAAGUUCUAGCAGAACCUUGACAACUGCAUAGGUGAGUCUGGAAAAAACAAAGCAUCUUACAGAUGCAUUGUUUUGAAUCUGAUCUUCUGAAAGGGAGAUUGGA